CCUACGGGUGGCAGCAGUGGGGAAUAUUGCACAAUGGGGGAAACCCUGAUGCAGCGACGCCGCGUGAGUGAAGAAGUAUUUCGGUAUGUAAAGCUCUAUCAGCAGGGAAGAAAAAAGACGGUACCUGACUAAGAAGCCCCGGCUAACUACGUGCCAGCAGCCGCGGUAGUACGUAGGGGCCAAGCGUUAUCCGGUUUUACUGGGUGGAAAGGGAGCGUAGACGGUAUGGCAAGUCGGAAGUGAAAGCCCAGGGCUUAACCCUGGGACUGCUGUGGAAACUGUUAGACUAGAGUGCUGGAGAGGUAAGUGGAAUUCCUGGUGUAGCGGUGAAAUGCGUAGAUAUUAGGAGGAACACCAGUGGCGAAGGCGGCUUACUGGACAGUAACUGACGUUGAGGCUCGAAAGCGUGGGGAGCAAACAGGAUUAGAUACCCUUGUAGUC
rnacentral:rRNA from 1 species